AACCCAUUGUGAGGGCAACUUCUCAAUAAAUCCUUAUACAUCUCCCAUGUGUCAUAUAACGUCUCUAAAUCGAUUUGUACAAAGGAAGAGAUAUCAUUCCUCAACUU
rnacentral:snoRNA from 1 species